AUGCGGGUGGUUGGACUUGUGGUCAUGGAAAGCGCUAGGAAAAUACCAAGCUCUAGGGUCACUAACAUUAAAGAGGGAGAUGCCAACACCCGCUAUUUUCACUCGAAGAUCAAUGGAAUUCGGUGGAAAAUCCUAAUUCACCGCCUUAAGCAUGGGAGUGGCGGGGUAACGGAUCACGACUACAAGAAGGCCAUUAUCCAUGCUCACUUCUCAGCUAUGAUGAAAAAGAGCAACCCACGCGCUAAGAGCGUCAAUUGGGCUUCCAUUCCUGCUGCCGACCAUGACCUAUCCCAUCUUGGGGACCCCAUCAUGGAGGAGAUCAAGGCUGCGAUUUUUGCCCUCCCUAGUGACAAGGCUCACGGGCCUGACGAAUUCACCGGGAAAUUCUGCAAAGAAUAUUGGGAUAUUAUCAAAGAUGGCAUCAUGCUUGUGAUCAAUAACUUCUCGGGCCUCCACACGAAAAAAAUUCACUGGCUAAACUCGACUAAUCUUGCUCUCAUCCACAAGAAAGAUGGCGUCGAGGACAUCACUAACUUAGGCAUAUUAGGCCCAAGGAGCUUGGAGGAUCCAUGCGCACUGGCGUGCACUUCCCCUGUUCAGGGCGCCAUGACGCAGCCUUUAAAGGAGCAACCGGUAGUCAAGGACGACCUGGUUGGCCACGGCGUCACCGGUGGAGGACACUCGGAAGUUGAUGGUGCGGAUGGCGGGUGGGGAGGGGGGGUCACCGACGCCGGAGAAGAGUCUGAACCUAGAGGAAUGGCGGGGGCAGCGGCAAGGCAAUGA
rnacentral:rRNA from 1 species